AGAGUUUGAUCCUGGCUCAGGAUGAACGCUAGCGAUAGGCUUAACACAUGCAAGUCGAGGGGCAUCACGAGGUAGCAAUACUUUGGUGGCGACCGGCGUACGGGUGCGUAACACGUAUGCAACCUUCCUGUAAGUGUGGGAUAGCCUCCUGAAAGGGAGAUUAAUACCUCAUGAUAUGUAUUUGCUGCAUGGCAUUUACAUUAAACAUUUAUGGCUUACAGAUGGGCAUGCGUUCCAUUAGGCAGUUGGUGUGGUAACGGCUCACCAAACCUACGAUGGAUAGGGGUUCUGAGAGGAAGGUCCCCCACACUGGAACUGAGACACGGUCCAGACUCCUACGGGAGGCAGCAGUGAGGAAUAUUGGUCAAUGGGCGCGAGCCUGAACCAGCCACGUCGCGUGAAGGAUGACGGCCUUAUGGGUUGUAAACUUCUUUUACAGGGGAAUAAAGUGAGUCACGUGUGAUUUUUUGCAUGUACCCUGUGAAUAAGCAUCGGCUAACUCCGUGCCAGCAGCCGCGGUAAUACGGAGGAUGCGAGCGUUAUCCGGAUUUAUUGGGUUUAAAGGGUGCGUAGGCGGGAUAUUAAGUCAGCGGUGAAAGUUUUCGGCUUAACCUUAAAAUUGCCGUUGAAACUGUUAUUCUUGAGUGCAGUAGAGGUAGGCGGAAUUCGUUGUGUAGCGGUGAAAUGCGUAGAUAUAACGAGGAACUCCGAUUGCGUAGGCAGCUUACUAUAUUGCUACUGACGCUGAGGCACGAAAGUGUGGGUAUCAAACAGGAUUAGAUACCCUGGUAGUCCACACAGUAAACGAUGAAUACUAGCUGUUUGCGAUAUAUUGUAAGCGGCCGAGCGAAAGCAUUAAGUAUUCCACCUGGGGAGUACGUCGGCAACGAUGAAACUCAAAGGAAUUGACGGGGGCCCGCACAAGCGGAGGAACAUGUGGUUUAAUUCGAUGAUACGCGAGGAACCUUACCCGGGCUUGAAAUGCAGAUGAUCGAAGUGGAGACACUUUUUCCAGCGAUGGCGUCUGUGUAGGUGCUGCAUGGUUGUCGUCAGCUCGUGCCGUGAGGUGUCGGCUUAAGUGCCAUAACGAGCGCAACCCUCAUUACUAGUUACCAUCAGGUCUAGCUGGGGACUCUAGUGAGACUGCCGGCGUAAGCUGUGAGGAAGGUGGGGAUGACGUCAAAUCAGCACGGCCCUUAUGUCCGGGGCGACACACGUGUUACAAUGGGGAGUACAGCGGGAAGCUACCUGGCGACAGGAUGCCAAUCUUUUAAAACUCUUCUCAGUUCGGAUCGGAGUCUGCAACUCGACUUCGUGAAGCUGGAUUCGCUAGUAAUCGCGCAUCAGCCACGGCGCGGUGAAUACGUUCCCGGGCCUUGUACACACCGCCCGUCAAGCCAUGGAAGUUGGUGGUGCCUGAAGUACGUGACCGCGAGGAGCGUCCUAGGGCAAAACUGAUGACUGGGGCUAAGUCGUAACAAGGUAGCCGUACCGGAAGGUGCGGCUG
rnacentral:rRNA from 1 species